GUGAAUGCUCUCGGUAAUUUAUUGCAAUUUUUGGAUCAGCUUAGUAACGAAAACGUAUUAAGUAUUUAUGGAAUUCCUUACGUAACAUACGUUUGCAGGUUUACUGCAUUUUCUUAGUAAAUUCACAACCGUGACUUCAUUGAUGCCAUUAUUAUAUGACUUACAAACUAUACUACUCUUCGCUAUGGAUAAACUUUUCUUUCGUACCACCUAUCAACAAUGGUGUCUAUAACUUUACGUAAAGCAGUAAAGCAAGUUUAAAUAUUUCAUCUUCCCCAAUCGCAAUCCAAUAACCAAAUGCAUAUUUGGUUUACAAUGGUUUUAAAGAUUAGACACAAGCAUUGUUCUCGUUUGCCGAUCUCUUAAUAUGUCAUUUUUCUUUCAGAUGUCAAAGUAUAUUUUUAUUAGUACUAUCAUGUGAGACACGGUCUUCUUAAUUUCGUAAUUGUUACUCAGUUUAUUUGAUAAAGACAUGAUUAUCUGAUUUGUGAGCACAAAGGCAUAUUACGCUCUCACUUGGCACUAAUUGUUUAGAUUAAUAUCCAGUUUUGCUUUCGUUUAAAAAAUAUUUAACUUGCUCACUCAUUUAUUUUUACGCACAAACAUUAUUUACAACGGAAAUUAUCGACCAUGUGAUGUAUAAAUGAACACAAUUCAGUCGUUGAAUUAAUAAACUUGGAAA
rnacentral:lncRNA from 1 species